rnacentral:rRNA from 1 species
UGGGGAAUUUUGCACAAUGGGGGAAACCCUGAUGCAGCGACGCCGCGUGAUUUAGAAGGCCUUCGGGUUGUAAAAAUCUUUUCUAUGGGAAGAAAAUGACAGUACCAUAGGAAUAAGGACCGGCUAAUUACGUGCCAGCAGCCGCGGUAAUACGUAAGGUCCGAGCGUUGUCCGGAAUCAUUGGGCGUAAAGGGUACGUAGGCGGGUAAGCAAGUUAGAAGUGAAAUCCUAUAGCUCAACUAUAGUAAGCUUUUAAAACUGCUCAUCUGGAGGUAUGGAAGGGAAAGUGGAAUUCCUAGUGUAGCGGUGAAAUGCGCAGAUAUUAGGAGGAAUAACGGUGGCGAAGGCGACUUUCUGGCCAUAACCUGACGCUGAGGUACGAAAGCGUGGGUAGCAAACAGG